GAUGAACGCUAGCGGCAGGCUUAAUACAUGCAAGUCUAGGGGGUAGCAAUAUCACCGGCGUACGGGUGCGUAACGCGUAUGCAACCUACCUUUAUCAAGGGGAUAGCCCGGGGAAACUCGGAUUAAUACCGCAUAACACAGAGGUUUAGCAUUAUGACUCUGUUAAAGAUUUAUCGGAUAAAGAUGGGCAUGCGUAAGAUUAGGUAGUUGGCGGGGUAACGGCCCACCAAGCCUACGAUCUUUAGGGGCUCUGAGAGGAGAAUCCCCCCCACACUGGCACUGAGAUACGGGCCAGACUCCUACGGGAGGCAGCAGUAGGGAAUAUUGGUCAAUGGAGGUAACUCUGAACCAGCCAUGCCGCGUGCAGGAAGAAGGUCCUCUGGAUUGUAAACUGCUUUUAUAAGGGACGAAAAAGGCUAUGCGUAGCAAAUUGACGGUACUUUAUGAAUAAGCCACGGCUAACUACGUGCCAGCAGCCGCGGUAACAC
rnacentral:rRNA from 1 species